rnacentral:rRNA from 1 species
GAUGAACGCUGGCGGCGUGCCUAAUACAUGCCAGUCGAGCGAACAGAUAAGGAGCUUGCUCCUUUGACGUUAGCGGCGGACGGGUGAGUAACACGUGGGUAACCUACCUAUAAGACUGGAAUAACUCCGGGAAACCGGGGCUAAUGCAGGAUAACAUGUUGAACCGCAUGGUUCUACAGUGAAAGGCGGCUUUGCUGUCACUUAUAGAUGGACCCGCGCCGUAUUAGCUAGUUGGUGAGGUAACGGCUCACCAAGGCAACGAUACGUAGCCGACCUGAGAGGGUGAUCGGCCACACUGGAACUGAGACACGGUCCAGACUCCUACGGGAGGCAGCAGUAGGGAAUCUUCCGCAAUGGGCGAAAGCCUGACGGAGCAACGCCGCGUGAGUGAUGAAGGUCUUCGGAUCGUAAAACUCUGUUAUUAGGGAAGAACAAAUGCGUAAGUAACUGUGCGCGUCUUGACGGCACCUAAUCAGAAAGCCACGGCUAACUACGU